CUUGCACUCCCUCCGUCCGAAAAUACUUGUCAUUGAAAUGGAUGUAUCUAGAUGUAUUUUAGUUCUAGACACAUCCAUUUUGAUGACAAGUAAUUCCGUACGGAGGGAGUACUUG
rnacentral:pre_miRNA from 1 species